rnacentral:rRNA from 1 species
GACGAACGCUGGCGGCGUGCUUAACACAUGCAAGUCGAGCGGAAAGGCCCUUUCGGGGGUACUCGAGCGGCGAACGGGUGAGUAACACGUGAGUAAUCUGCCCUUGGCUUUGGGAUAACCACCGGAAACGGUGGCUAAUACCGGAUAUGACGCGCCCCGGCAUCGGGGUGUGUGGAAAGUUUUUUCGGCCAGGGAUGUGCUCGCGGCCUAUCAGCUUGUUGGUGGGGUAAUGGCCUACCAAGGCUUCGACGGGUGGCCGGCCUGAGAGGGUGACCGGCCACACUGGGACUGAGACACGGCCCAGACUCCUACGGGAGGCAGCAGUGGGGAAUAUUGGACAAUGGGCGGAAGCCUGAUCCAGCAACGCCGCGUGAGAGAUGACGGCCUUCGGGUUGUAAACCUCUUUCAGUACCGACGAAGCGCCGAUGAUGGUGGUGACGGUAGGUACAGAAGAAGCACCGGCCAACUACGUGCCAGCAGCCGCCGCGG